CCUACGGGUGGCAGCAGUGAGGAAUAUUGGUCAAUGGACGAGAGUCUGAACCAGCCAAGUAGCGUGAAGGAUGACUGCCCUAUGGGUUGUAAACUUCUUUUAUAUGGGAAUAAAAUGUUCCACGUGUGGGCUUUUGUAUGUACCAUAUGAAUAAGGAUCGGCUAACUCCGUGCCAGCAGCCGCGGUAAUACGGAGGAUCCGAGCGUUAUCCGGCUUUAUUGGGGUUAAAGGGGGCGUAGGGGGAUUGUUAAGUCAGUUGUGAAAGUUUGCGGCUCAACCGUAAAAUUGCAGUUGAAACUGGCAGUCUUGAGUACAGUAGAGGUGGGCGGAAUUCGUGGUGUAGCGGUGAAAUGCUUAGAUAUCACGAAGAACUCCGAUUGCGAAGGCAGCUCACUGGACUGCAACUGACACUGAGGCUCGAAAGUGUGGGUAUCAAACAGGAUUAGAUACCCCUGUAGUC
rnacentral:rRNA from 1 species